UGCCAGACUCCUACGGGAGGCAGCAGUGGGGAAUAUUGCACAAUGGGGGAAACCCUGAUGCAGCGACGCCGCGUGAGUGAAGAAGUAUUUCGGUAUGUAAAGCUCUAUCAGCAGGGAAGAUAAUGACGGUACCCGACUAAGAAGCCCCGGCUAACUACGUGCCAGCAGCCGCGGUAAUACGUAGGGGGCAAGCGUUAUCCGGAUUUACUGGGUGUAAAGGGUGCGUAGGUGGCAUGGCAAGUCAGAAGUGAAAGCCCGGGGCUCAACCCCGCGGACUGCUUUUGAAACUGUCAGGCUGGAGUACAGGAGAGGUAAGCAGAAUUCCUAGUGUAGCGGUGAAAUGCGUAGAUAUUAGGAGGAACACCAGUGGCGAAGGCGGCUUACUGGACUGUAACUGACACUGAGGCACGAAAGCGUGGGGAGCAAACAGGAUUAGAUACCCUUGUAC
rnacentral:rRNA from 1 species